UAACCAAUCCAAUUUAACACACAGGUAACCAAUCCAAUUUAACGCACAGGUAACCAAUCCAAUUUAACGCACAGGUAACCAAUCCAAUUUAAGGCACAGGUAACCAAUCCAAUUUAACGCACAGGUAACCAAUCCAAUUUAACACACAGGUAACCAAUCCAAUUUAACACACAGGUAACCAAUCCAAUUUAACGCACAGGUAACCAAUCCAAUUUAACGCACAGGUAACCAAUCCAAUUUAACACACAGGUAACCAAUCCAAUUUAACACACAGGUAACCAAUCCAAUUUAACGCACAGGUAACCAAUCCAAUUUAACGCACAGGUAACCAAUCCAAUUUAACACACAGGUAACCAAUCCAAUUUAACGCACAGGUAACCAAUCCAAUUUAACACACAGGUAACAAAUCCAAUUUAACGCACAGGUAACCAAUCCAAUUUAACGCACAGGUAACCAAUCCAAUUUAACACACAGGUAACCAAUCCAAUUUAACACACAGGUAACCAAUCCAAUUUCAAUGUCAGAGCAUGUAUGCAGAAUGU